UACGAAGGUCCCAAGCGUUGUUCGGAAUCACUGGGCGUAAAGGGAGCGUAGGCGGCGUGGUAAGUCAGAUGUGAAAUCCCGGGGCUCAACCCCGGAACUGCAUCCGAUACUGCCAUGCUUGAGGGUUGGAGAGGUAGCUGGAAUUCUCGGUGUAGCAGUGAAAUGCGUGGAUAUCGAGAGGAACACUCGUGGCGAAGGCGAGCUACUGGACAACAUCUGACGCUGAGGCUCGAAGGCUAGGGGAGCAAAA
rnacentral:rRNA from 1 species